AAUAGAUACCCUGGUAGUCCAUGCCGUAAACGUUGGGCACUAGGUGUGGGGGGGCAUUCCACGUUUCCCGCGCCGUAGCUAACGCAUUAAGUGCCCCGCCUGGGGAGUACGGCCGCAAGGCUAAAACUCAAAGGAAUUGACGGGGGCCCGCACAAGCGGCGGAGCAUGCGGAUUAAUUCGAUGCAACGCGAAGAACCUUACCAAGGCUUGACAUGGGCCGGAUCGCCGCAGAGAUGUGGUUUCCCCUUUUGGGGCCGGUUCACAGGUGGUGCAUGGUUGUCGUCAGCUCGUGUCGUGGGAUGUUGGGUUAAGUCCCGCAACGAGCGCAACCCUCGUUCUAUGUUGCCAGCGGUUCGGCCGGGGACUCAUAGGAGACUGCCGGGGUCAACUCGGAGGAAGGUGGGGACGACGUCAAAUCAUCAUGCCCCUUAUGUCUUGGGCUUCACGCAUGCUACAAUGGCCGGUACAAAGGGUUGCGAUACUGUGAGGUGGAGCUAAUCCCAAAAAGCCGGUCUCAGUUCGGAUUGGGGUCUGCAACUCGACCCCAUG
rnacentral:rRNA from 1 species